rnacentral:tRNA from 1 species
UAGUCAAAUAGAGCAAAGGACUGAAAAUCCUUGUGUCAGUGGUUCGAAUCCACU